AUACGAAGGGGGCUAGCGUUGUUCGGAAUUACUGGGCGUAAAGCGCGCGUAGGCGGAUUGGUCAGUUAGGGGUGAAAUCCCAGGGCUUAACCCUGGAACUGCCUCUAAUACUGCCAGUCUUGAGUUCGGGAGAGGUGAGUGGAAUUCCUAGUGUAGAGGUGAAAUUCGUAGAUAUUAGGAAGAACACCAGUGGCGAAGGCGGCUCACUGGCCCGAUACUGACGCUGAGGCGCGAAAGCGUGGGUAGCAAACGGGAUUAGAAACCCUAGUAGUCC
rnacentral:rRNA from 1 species